rnacentral:rRNA from 1 species
AUUGAACGCUGGCGGCAGGCCUAACACAUGCAAGUCGAACGAGUGGCGUACGGGUGAGCAAUGUCUGGGCAACUGCCUGAUGGAGGGGGAUAACUACUGGAAACUGUUGCUAAUACCUCUUCGCAUCGGCUGUGUCCAGAUGGGAUUAGCUAGUAGGUGGGGUAAAGGCUCACCUAGGCGACGAUCCCUAGCUGGUCUGAGAGGAUGCGCAGCCACACUGGAACUGAGACACGGUCCAGACUCCUACGGGAGGCAGCAGUGGGGAAUAUUGCACAAUGGGCGCAAGCCUGAUGCAGCCAUGCCGCGUGUAUGAAGAAGGCCUUCGGGUUGUAAAGUACUUUCAGUCGGGAGGCGUUACCCACAGAAGAAGCACCGGCUAACUCCGUGCCAGCAGCCGCGGUAAUUC